rnacentral:rRNA from 1 species
GACGAACGCUGGCGGCGUGCCUAAUACAUGCAAGUCGAGCGGGCCUCCGGAGGUGCUUGCACCUCCGGACGGCCAGCGGCGGACGGGUGAGUAACACGUGGGCAACCUGCCUUUGAGGCCGGGAUAACACCGGGAAACCGGUGCUAAUACCGGAUACGUCCUCUUUCGCGCCUGCGAGAGGGGAGAAAGACGGUCAUUAAGGACGUCGCUCAAAGAGGGGCCCGCGGCGCAUUAGCUGGUUGGUGGGGCAAGGGCCUACCAAGGCGACGAUGCGUAGCCGACCUGAGAUGGUGACCGGCCACACUGGGACUGAGACACGGCCCAGACUCCUACGGGAGGCAGCAGUAGGGAAUCUUCCACAAUGGGCGAAAGCCUGAUGGAGCAACGCCGCGUGAGUGAUGAAGGUUUUCGGAUCGUAAAACUCUGUUGUUAGGGAAGAACACCCGGGAGAGGAUCCCGGCUUGACGGUACCUAACGAGGAAGCCCCGGCUAACUACGUGCCAGCCGCCGCAGUAACAC